rnacentral:rRNA from 1 species
UACAGAGGGUGCAAGCGUUAAUCGGAAUUACUGGGCGUAAAGCGUGCGUAGGUGGUUAGCUAAGUCAGAUGUGAAAGCCCCGGGCUUAACCUGGGAAUUGCAUUUGAUACUGGCUAGCUAGAGUUUGGUAGAGGGAAGUGGAAUUCCAGGUGUAGCGGUGAAAUGCGUAGAUAUCGUAAGGAAGACCAGUGGCGAAGGCGGGUCGUCUGGACAGUUCCUGACGCUGAGGCACGAAGGUC